rnacentral:lncRNA from 1 species
CACCAACAUCCACACCAACACCCGCACACCAACAUCUGCACAGCAACACCUGCACACCAACACCUGUACACUAACACCUGCACACCAACACCCACACCAACACCUGCACACCAACGUCCACACCAGCACCUGCACACCAACGUCCACACCACCUGCACACCAAUAUCCACACCAACACCUGCACACCAAUAUCCACACCAACACCUGCACACCAAUGUCCACACCAACACCUGCACACCAAUAUCCACACCAACACCUGCACACCAACGUCCACACCAACACCUGCACACCAACACCUGCACACCAACGUCCACACCAGCACCUGCACACCAACGUCCACACCAACACCUGCACACCAACAUCCACACCAACACCUGCACACCAAUAUCCACACCAACACCUGCACACCAAUGUCCACACCAACACCUGCACACCAAUAUCCACACCAACACCUGCACACCAACGUCCACACCAACACCUGCACACCAACACCUGCACACCAACGUCCACACCAACACCUGCACACCAACGUCCACACCAACACCUGCACACCAACGUCCACACCAACACCUGCACACCAAUAUCCACACCAAC